GACGAACCGUGCGAACGUUAUUCGGAAUCACUGGGCUUAAAGCGCGUGUAGGCGGGACGGCACGUCGGUCGCUGAAAUCCCCCGGCUCAACCGGGGAACCGGCGCCGAUACGACCGGCCUGGAGGGACGUAGGGGGACCUGGAACUUCCGGUGGAGCGGUGAAAUGCGUUGAGAUCGGAAGGAACGCCCGUGGCGAAAGCGGCUCACUGGACCACAACUGACGCUGAGACGCGAAAGCGUGGGUAGCAAACAGG
rnacentral:rRNA from 1 species